GACGAACCGUGCGAACGUUAUUCGGAAUCAUUGGGCUUAAAGAGCGCGUAGGCGGCGUCGUAAGUUGGAGGUGAAAUCCCAUCGGCUCAACCGUGGAACUGCCCCCAAUACUGCGGCGCUUGAGGGAGGUAGGGGCAUGUGGAACUUCCAGUGGAGCGGUGAAAUGUGUUGAGAUUGGAAGGAACGCCAGUGGCGAAAGCGACAUGCUGGAUCUCUUCUGACGCUGAGGCGCGAAAGCUAGGGGAGCGAACGGG
rnacentral:rRNA from 1 species